UACGUAGGGUGCAAGCGUUGUCCGGAAUUAUUGGGCGUAAAGAGCUCGUAGGCGGUUUGUCGCGUCUGCCGUGAAAGUCCGGGGCUCAACUCCGGAUCUGCGGUGGGUACGGGCAGACUAGAGUGAUGUAGGGGAGACUGGAAUUCCUGGUGUAGCGGUGAAAUGCGCAGAUAUCAGGAGGAACACCAAUGGCGAAGGCAGCUCGCUGGGACGGUACUGACGCUGAGGCGCGAAAGCGUGGGGAGCAAACAGG
rnacentral:rRNA from 1 species